AAGUCGUAACAAGGUUUCCGUAGGUGAACCUGCGGAAGGAUCAUUAUCGUAGGGCUUCGGCCCUGUCGAGAUAGAACCCUUGCCAUUUAUGAGUACCCGGUCCCGUUUCCUCGGCCAGGGCCCCGCCUGCCGAUGGACCCCAAAACCAAACCCUUUUAUUACCUGUAUCAGUCUGAAAAAUAAACAAAAUUAAAA
rnacentral:misc_RNA from 1 species